GGGCCUUCUCACUCCGAAAGUUAUAUAACUAAGUACCCUACCCCUUUCACAACCAUAACGGAUGUAUGAUAAAUUCAACAAUAACUCUCAUAGUCUGUGGAACCAGGAGCUUGUCAUAUGAUUUCCUUUCAGGGGAGUCAGAAGACUCGUAACAGAACUUUCAACCCCUUUUGGUGCUUAUUUUUUCUGUUUAUGAUAUGUAGAUGUCUACGGAUUCAAGCACCAGUAGUCAUGUUUCUGCUUUGUUUUGAUGCUAUUAUUGACCAGUCAAAAGAAUUACUGUGACCUACCAUGUGAUUCAGAUUUGAUAGUGUACAUUUUACAUGGAUAUGCAACUAUUACUUUUUAGCGUUUCUCUCUUCUGAAUUGGCUUAAUUCAUAAAUUUGUGCUCUUCUGAUGAAGGCUUUUCCAUGCUUCUAAUUCUGUAAUCUUAUUCCUGCUUGUAUCACAAUGACUUUAGCAUUAUAUGCUUUUCUGCACUAAGAAUCUCUUCACUUUACAGUAAAGCUACUGGAAAUGAACAAUAAAUUUGCUUUCUUUCUGUAAUAAUCUAUUAUAGGAAUUGCAGGCUUGGUGCUUCAGUGGAAUGAACAUUGUUCUUGUUUGAUGUUAGGCUUAGAGAGUAUGACUGAGAUGAUAUGUGUUCUUAUCUCAAACUUUCUAGGAAUCUUAGGAGCUGCAACUUGAGUGGCAAGGUUCUUGAUCUAACUAGGAUUCACAACCUUCUUUUCCUGUAACUCUCACAUGAUGAUUCUUCAUCAAUAUUUGAAGUCGGAAUUAAGAUACUUGCAGAAUAUUUAGCAGGACGGAGCUGCAUGUGUAGUUGUUACCAACAUUAUGGGCAAUGGGUUCAGAAAUUGAAGUACUUGAGUAGAGAUUGAGUUUGUUUUUGGGUGAGCUGCAGAAAGAAUUUGAAAUUUUUGAUAGAAUUGUCUACAAAAAUAAGAAUCAGCAUCAAAGGUGCUCUUAUUGUCAGUGUCUGCUCAAGGUGAGAAGGGAUUUGAGGCUUCUGCAAUCAGCAAAUUUGGGGGAAAUCUUGAACUCCUGCUUUGUCGCAAUCCAUAGAAAAAGACCUAAACAAAAAGUGCAGCUUUGGGAAAGUUUGAAGAGGAGAAGGUCUGAUGUUGGUAAAUAUAGCUUUUUGGAACGGCUUCUUGGAGUUGCACGUCUACUAUCGCUGAUAAUGACACUGACGCUGCAAAUCCUGAAUCUGCUCCAGAAGGUCCUGAUGGCAAGGUCAAGACAUUGGUUCUUUGGCUGAUCCUGUUUCACAAGGUAAGUAUAUAAGAGACGGUUCUUCCAUUGCAGGACCUGCUGCAAAGAGUAGCAUGACUCUGGAAGAUGGCCUACUUACAACUUCAAAGCUUAUCUCCGCAUUUGAGUCCCUUUAACACACAAGGCCGGGAAGAAAAAGGUUGCCUUCUUAGCGGUGAGAGCUCCUUCACCAUCAACCGCACACAUAAACUUGAUUCUGGUGUCAAACUAACAGACAAAAGUUGAUUAACAGAAAUGGGAUGCAUUUUUCAGUCUGCUUAUUGGUGACAAUAAGAAGAGCAGUAGUAUCUCUUACGAGUAUAUUCAGACCAAAAAGCCAGUCAUAUUGUGCUUUUUCCCCCUCUCUAUGGCUGUUUUUUUUUU